CUUAACCAAAAAAACAUUUUCAGGCCAACAAUUUUAAGUUUUUAUUUUUACAGUGCAUUCACAACAACUUCCCAACAUAACUUGCUUGCUGUUUGGAGUACAGACAGCCUCAGCAUAGGAGCAUGAGUUGGAUUGGGUAGAACUGAAGGGCUCUUAGGUGCAGUUUUGGAGAAUAAGUGUGCAUAGUCUGCCUCGAAAGAUGUGUGAUAUUGCUUCAAAACAAAUAGUCAUGUUGUACAAUAAAGCAUCAGCAUCAGCCUUUACAUAUGCAGCAGCUGCUGAAGUGCUUCAACACCAGUUUUUGUCUCCAAAUUUGUUGAUAUGGUUGAACAGUCGAAUGUCUUCCACUCAGAGCAGUGUUUGUGUGCACUGUGGUGUUGAGUUGUUACAACCUGUGUGAACCCUCUACUUUCCAAUGCACCUAUUCAACCUCACGGUGACACACAGUUCACUAUUUGUGGUGCUGUUCUCUUGUGUCGAUGGUAUCACUCAGAGAGGUGAAAGCAGUCAGUAAGCCCUUUGUCAAACAGGAACAGAUACUGACAUGUUUAUGCCCUUUAUU